GAGUUUGAUCCUGGCUCAGGAUGAACGCUAGCGGCAGGCCUAACACAUGCAAGUCGAGGGGUAGAAGGAGCUUGCUCCUUUGAGACCGGCGCACGGGUGCGUAACGCGUAUGCAAUCUACCUUGUACAGGGGAAUAGCCCAGAGAAAUUUGGAUUAAUGCCCCAUAGUAUAUAACCUUCGCAUGUUGGUUAUGUUAAAGUUCCAACGGUACGAGAUGAGCAUGCGUCCCAUUAGUUAGUUGGUAAGGUAACGGCUUACCAAGACGAUGAUGGGUAGGGGUCCUGAGAGGGAGAUCCCCCACACUGGUACUGAGACACGAACCAGACUCCUACGGGAGGCAGCAGUGAGGAAUAUUGGUCAAUGGACGCAAGUCUGAACCAGCCAUGCCGCGUGCAGGAAGAAUGCCCUAUGGGUUGUAAACUGCUUUUAUUUAGGAAUAAACCUUUCUACGUGUAGAAAGCUGAAGGUACUAAAUGAAUAAGCACCGGCUAACUCCGUGCCAGCAGCCGCGGUAAUACGGAGGGUGCAAGCGUUAUCCGGAAUCAUUGGGUUUAAAGGGUCCGCAGGCGGAUUUAUAAGUCAGUGGUGAAAGCCUACAGCUUAACUGUAGAACUGCCAUUGAUACUGUAAGUCUUGAAUUCGGUCGAAGUGGGCGGAAUGUGUAAUGUAGCGGUGAAAUGCAUAGAUAUUACACAGAACACCGAUAGCGAAGGCAGCUCACUAGGCCUGGAUUGACGCUCAGGGACGAAAGCGUGGGGAUCAAACAGGAUUAGAUACCCUGGUAGUCCACGCUGUAAACGAUGAUUACUCGUUUUCGGCGAUAUACAGUCGGAGACUAAGCGAAAGUGAUAAGUAAUCCACCUGGGGAGUACGAUCGCAAGGUUGAAACUCAAAGGAAUUGACGGGGGCCCGCACAAGCGGUGGAGCAUGUGGUUUAAUUCGAUGAUACGCGAGGAACCUUA
rnacentral:rRNA from 1 species